UUCUCGGGCUUCCCCUCCCCAACUCAGCUCGCUGCCGCCUUCUAGGCGUCCCCUUCCUUCCCCGCUGCACCCCAGCACUCCGUGUUCUUCACUUCACCUGGGUUCCUGCGGCCCGGUUUCUCCAGACUCCCCGCAACCCUUCCCCCUUUAGACCCCCCGCCCUGCCAGGCCCCCGGCGCGUGGACCUCUGGGAGUUGUAGUUCACGUGCUGGCAGGGUGAUACGUUGGAGAGAUCAAGGACAAAGGGGCGGUCAACACUACAUCUCCCAGUGGUCAUCGCACACCGGAGGAGGACCCAAUCCAGGAUACUACACUGCAUCUACUGAUAAGGAGCUGAACUGCAGUUCCGCCACCUCAAUGAGUUACACCAAUGAACAUGUUAAGUUACCUGCUGGGUGGUUUCUCAUACGUGGAAAGACUGUCUAUUCUUAUGUAUAAUACAACCAGUAGUACAGGAGGGCCUUGCUCCCUUGGAAGGUUAACCGUUUUUUAUGCUACAAAGACCCCACCCAACCAGACAUCACAGAGAAAUUGCUUUAGGCCCCCGACUGUAAUAGUGAGCUAUGCUUGUUUAGUCCGGCUGAGUAUGUAGCUUUGUCUCUAUUUGUAGUGUCGGCCAUGACUAUUGCCCUGAAUAUAGAAAUCAGCUUAAUGGUCUGCUCUAUGGUAAAAGCCCCGAAUGCCGCCUCUCAGGCCACCCAUACAAUCAGGGAAGAACUAGGACCGGUCAGAGAGGCCUUGCUUGAAAAUAGAGCCUCUACAAAGUUUUUGUUGCUAAGACACAACCAUAGAUGUGAAGAAUUUAAAAGACUUUGUUGCUUUAACCUUACAGAUAAUUCCCAGCUAAUUGAAGAGAAGGUCAAACAAAUCCAUAAUAUCGUAUCUAACAUUGAACAGAGAAAAGGGUUCUUUGGCUUUGAUCUAUUCUGACUCACUUCUUGGCUCCCCAGCCUUGCUGGUCUCAGGGAAGCAGUUUUUUUUCUUUUUAUUUAUAGUAAUAGAGCUUAUGUCUUGCUGCUGUAUUCUAUUUCCUGUUGCUUGUAGGUCCAUUGCCAGCUGGCUGCUGAAGGGCCAAUGGACAUUAGAAGCUCAAGUCUUCCUUCAGUGCCACAGUGGAGAAUCUCACUUCAAACUAGCCUCAUAGACAUAGACUUUACCUUUUGACAGUGGGGAAUUGAAGCAGGGGGCCGGUUGGUACCCCUGUAAUAGGAGCCUUGCUCUGUCCCUGGCCUCACCUUUCCAUCUUGUAUAAACAAUAAAUCGGCUUGAGCUCAGUGCCUCCCAAAUGCCCUGCCCCCAUCCCAGUUCCUUGCCUUAGACCAGCGGUUCUCAACCUGUGGGUCGCGACCCCUUUGG